rnacentral:rRNA from 1 species
AGAGUUUGAUCAUGGCUCAGAUUGAACGCUGGCGGCAGGCCUAACACAUGCAAGUCGAGCGGUAACACAGAGAGCUUGCUCUCGGGUGACGAGCGGCGACGGGUGAGUAAUGUCUGGGAAACUGCCUGAUGGAGGGGGAUAACUACUGGAAACGGUAGCUAAUACCGCAUAACGUCGCAAGACCAAAGUGGGGGACCUUCGGGCCUCAUGCCAUCAGAUGUGCCCAGAUGGGAUUAGCUAGUAGGUGGGGUAACGGCUCACCUAGGCGACGAUCCCUAGCUGGUCUGAGAGGAUGACCAGCCACACUGGAACUGAGACACGGUCCAGACUCCUACGGGAGGCAGCAGUGGGGAAUAUUGCACAAUGGGCGCAAGCCUGAUGCAGCCAUGCCGCGUGUGUGAAGAAGGCCUUCGGGUUGUAAAGCACUUUCAGCGGGGAGGAAGGCGAUAAGGUUAAUAACCUUGUCGAUUGACGUUACCCGCAGAAGAAGCACCGGCUAACUCCGUGCCAGCAGCCGCGGUAAUACGGAGGGUGCAAGCGUUAAUCGGAAUUACUGGGCGUAAAGCGCACGCAGGCGGUCUGUCAAGUCGGAUGUGAAAUCCCGGGCUUAACCUGGGAACUGCAUUCGAAACUGGCAGGCUAGAGUCUUGUAGAGGGGGGUAGAAUUCCAGGUGUAGCGGUGAAAUGCGUAGAGAUCUGGAGGAAUACCGGUGGCGAAGGCGGCCCCCUGGACAAAGACUGACGCUCAGGUGCGAAAGCGUGGGGAGCAAACAGGAUUAGAUACCCUGGUAGUCCACGCCGUAAACGAUGUCGAUUUGGAGGUUGUGCCCUUGAGGCGUGGCUUCCGGAGCUAACGCGUUAAAUCGACCGCCUGGGGAGUACGGCCGCAAGGUUAAAACUCAAAUGAAUUGACGGGGCCCGCACAAGCGGUGGAGCAUGUGGUUUAAUUCGAUGCAACGCGAAGAACCUUACCUGGUCUUGACAUCCACAGAACUUUCCAGAGAUGGAUUGGUGCCUUCGGGAACUGUGAGACAGGUGCUGCAUGGCUGUCGUCAGCUCGUGUUGUGAAAUGUUGGGUUAAGUCCCGCAACGAGCGCAACCCUUAUCCUUUGUUGCCAGCGGUCCGGCCGGGAACUCAAAGGAGACUGCCAGUGAUAAACUGGAGGAAGGUGGGGAUGACGUCAAGUCAUCAUGGCCCUUACGACCAGGGCUACACACGUGCUACAAUGGCAUAUACAAAGAGAAGCGACCUCGCGAGAGCAAGCGGACCUCAUAAAGUAUGUCGUAGUCCGGAUUGGAGUCUGCAACUCGACUCCAUGAAGUCGGAAUCGCUAGUAAUCGUAGAUCAGAAUGCUACGGUGAAUACGUUCCCGGGCCUUGUACACACCGCCCGUCACACCAUGGGAGUGGGUUGCAAAAGAAGUAGGUAGCUUAACCUUCGGGAGGGCGCUUACCACUUUGUGAUUCAUGACUGGGGUGAAGUCGUAACAAGGUAACCGUAGGGGAACCUGCGGUUGGAUCACCU